AGCGCAGGCGGGAGGACAAGUUGGAAGUGAAAUCCAUGGGCUCAACCCAUGAACUGCUUUCAAAACUGUUUUUCUUGAGUAGUGCAGAGGUAGGCGGAAUUCCCGGUGUAGCGGUGGAAUGCGUAGAUAUCGGGAGGAACACCAGUGGCGAAGGCGGCCUACUGGGCACCAACUGACGCUGAGGCUCGAAAGUGUGGGUAGCAAACA
rnacentral:rRNA from 1 species